UACUUCUGUGAUCGAGUUGUCCUGAUCACCUUAAUCAAACAUAAUUGCAUCAGAAUGUACCCUCUCUUAUUUUUAUAAUUUCCUUUAUUUCUUUUACCAAACUCUAUAUAAGACUUCACCUUCUCGACACAGCUCAUGCACUCCUUCCUCCUUCCCUGCACCCAUCCUCUCCACCUUCUCCCCUGUUCUUAUGGCGUACCUCUUCUUUCUCAUCUAAGGCGUUACAUGGAGGCUCAGGAAGUAUGGUGCAGCCAAGGAUGACUUGCCGACCCCUACAGAAAAAUUUGUUCUCAGAAGAAGUUUAGAGGAGUGAGUGGGCAAGUUGUCUUUGGCUACAUACUACUUCUUGCUCCCCAUGUUACGCUUUCUGAUGAUAAUGUUCCAUGUGGUUUUGGCUGUUCAGAAGAUAACCACUUGUUAGAUGUCCUUUUGGGUUUCCUGUGCUGGCUAAAUAUGCUGUGAUCCCACAUUCCUUGCUAGUACCCAAUUCUGCCAGUGAAGGGAUCCUCACAUGUGCUCAUGGAUUCUCUUUUUUGAGAAAAAGACGAAUGAGAAAUCAGUUGGUUUAGAGAUUUAAAGAUUUGGGAAGAUCGAUAUACUGGAUAAUACACCGCCCAUUAAAAAUCCAAAGGCGUAUCGAAGAACGGUGGUGCAGUAAAAUACCUCACAAUUACUUGACCUGAUAUUUAUUUUGUAGCCAACAAGAUCUGUCAGCAUAUGCAUCAGCCUACCAAUCAUCACUACCAACUUCUUAAAUGCCUUCUCUGCUAUCUACAGAGGACCAUUAUUUCUGAUAUCCUCAUUACACAUGGGGAUCUAUCUCUUCAAACCUAUUCCAAUGUUGAUUGGUUAGGCAAUUCAGUGAACUGGAAAUCAACCAUAGGUUUCUGUUCCCUCCUCGGUUCAACACCCAUCUCAUGGACAGUGAAGAAAAAACAUUUUUUUGCUCGGUCAUCCACAUAGGUGGAUUAUCGUUCCUUGGUCAUAGCAGCAGCAGAUAUUCUAUGGCUUCGACGUCUUUUUAUGGAGCUCGGAGUUGAUCAACCACACCUGAUGAAGCUAUUUUGUGACAAUGUCUCUACUAUUGCUUUUGCCAAUAAUCCUGUCUUCCACUUUGGAUCAAAUACAUCAAAAUUGAUUAUCACUUCAUUCGGGAUCACCUACAACAAGGUCAACCCGACAUCCAUUUUAUUCCUACACAAAAUCAACCGGGAGAUAUCCUCACUAAAGCGUUUGCUAAGCGGAAGUUCAAUUACUUCAAUUAAAAGCUUCGAGUCCUUUCCAAGAACCAUUACCCUGAAGGGGGAUCAUAGUCACAACCGAAUUAUGCAGCAUGACCAAUUGGUCUGACAACACCACAGUGGAUAGUAUAUUACUUAAAGCCAACCAAGAGCACUUUUGAAAAAAGGUAGAGUUUGCUACAAGAAUACUCCACUAAGGCCAAUUAAUGACCUUGCUUUUACUUUAAUGAACUAGGAUGACUGCCAAUGAAAUAUUUCCUCAUAAUCUGCAGAUUACAAAUGUUAUAUUUCUUCAGCCAAAGGAGGCCUGCCAAU